AUUGAACGCUGGCGGCAUGCCUUACACAUGCAAGUCGAACGGCAGCACGGGAGCAAUCCUGGUGGCGAGUGGCGAACGGGUGAGUAAAGUAUCGGAACGUGCCCAGUCGUGGGGGAUAACGUAGCGAAAGUUACGCUAAUACCGCAUACGAUCUAUGGAUGAAAGCGGGGGAUCGCAAGACCUCGCGCGAUUGGAGCGGCCGAUAUCAGAUUAGGUAGUUGGUGGGGUAAAGGCUCACCAAGCCGACGAUCUGUAGCUGGUCUGAGAGGACGACCAGCCACACUGGGACUGAGACACGGCCCAGACUCCUACGGGAGGCAGCAGUGGGGAAUUUUGGACAAUGGGCGAAAGCCUGAUCCAGCCAUGCCGCGUGCAGGAUGAAGGCCUUCGGGUUGUAAACUGCUUUUGUACGGAACGAAAAGGUUUGGCCUAAUAAGCUGGACCCAUGACGGUACCGUAAGAAUAAGCACCGGCUAACUACGUGCCAGCAGCCGCCGCCG
rnacentral:rRNA from 1 species